UAGAUACAGGAGCUGUGAUGUAGAUGUAUCAUUUCAGACUGGGAUCCCCAUGAUUUUCAAAUCUCUGCAUUGUGUCCAGAUAUGGUUUUCCAUGGUGGUCUCCAAAUGCACUUGCGUUUAUGAGCCACAGAAGGUAGAACAUAGGAAGGGGCUUCAGAUCAAAUCCAGCUUGAAUCAUCCUACUCCUGUGUCCUGAGUAUGCAGUCAUCUCCAGCAGCAGGGAUCUACCCUCAACUCCUGGAAGGUAACCAACUCCUGAUUAUGUGAGUGAAGGUGAACAUUCCUACCGGGUGUCACUUCUGCAUAGAAAUAAGAAGAGAAAUGGAUUCUUUAGACAUCCAAAUAUAG